GAUGAACGCUGGCGGCGUGCCUAAUACAUGCAAGUCGAGCGAACAGACGAGGAGCUUGCUCCUUCGACGUUAGCGGCGGACGGGUGAGUAACACGUAGGUAACCUACCUAUAAGACUGGGAUAACUUCGGGAAACCGGAGCUAAUACCGGAUAAUAUUUCGAACCGCAUGGUUCGAUAGUGAAAGAUGGCUUUGCUAUCACUUAUAGAUGGACCUGCGCCGUAUUAGCUAGUUGGUAAGGUAACGGCUUACCAAGGCAACGAUACGUAGCCGACCUGAGAGGGUGAUCGGCCACACUGGAACUGAGACACGGUCCAGACUCCUACGGGAGGCAGCAGUAGGGAAUCUUCCGCAAUGGGCGAAAGCCUGACGGAGCGACGCCGCGUGAGUGAUGAGGGUCUUCGGAUCGUAAAACUCUGUUAUUAGGGAAGAACAAACGUGUAAGUAACUGUGCACGUCUUGACAGUACCUAAUCAGAAAGCCACGGCUAACUACGUG
rnacentral:rRNA from 1 species